GAUGAACGCUAGCGGCAGGCUUAACACAUGCAAGUCGAGGGGCAGCGUGAGGGUUAGCAAUAACCCUUGACGGCGACCGGCGCAAGGGUGCGUAACGCGUGAGCAACUUGCCCUUAUCAGGGGGAUAACCGGUGGAAACGCCGACUAAUACCCCAUAGCAUCAACUUAGGGCAUCCUUAGUUGAUUAAAGAAUUUCGGAAACGGAUAGGCUCGCGUGACAGUAGCUAGAUGGCGGGGUAACGGCCCACCAUGGCUACGAUGUCUAGGGGUUCUGAGAGGAAGGUCCCCCCANACUGGAACUGAGACACGGUCCAGACUCCUACGGGAGGCAGCAGUGAGGAAUAUUGGUCAAUGGUCGGAAGACUGAACCAGCCAAGUAGCGUGAAGGAUGAAGGUUCUAUGGAUUGUAAACUUCUUUUAUACGGGAAUAAAACCUCCACGUGUGGGAGCUUGUAUGUACCGUAUGAAUAAGCAUCGGCUAACUCCGUGCCAGCAGCCG
rnacentral:rRNA from 1 species